ACGGCGGACGGGGGAGUAACGCGUGGGUAACCUACCCUGUACACACGAUAACAUACCGAAAGGUAUGCUAAUACGGGAUAAUAUAUUUGAGAGGCAUCUCUUAAAUAUCAAAGGUGAGCCAGUACAGGAUGGACCCGCGUCUGAUUAGCUAGUUGGUAAGGUAACGGCUUACCAAGGCGACGAUCAGUAGCCGACCUGAGAGGGUGAUCGGCCACAUUGGAACUGAGACACGGUCCAA
rnacentral:rRNA from 1 species